UACAAUGUUUUGACUCUUCGUUUUAUUUGAAUUUUUUUUGCGAUUAAUAUUUUUGUUCUUCCUAAAUGAUAAAAUAUAAAUAGUACUUUAUACGUGACUAAUUUUUUUUUAAGUUUGUGUAUAAAAUUUUUAAAUAAGACGAAUGGUCAAACGUUGAAAACGGAAAAACA
rnacentral:pre_miRNA from 1 species